CCCUUAGAUGUUCUGGGCCGCACGCGCGCUACACUGAUGAACGCAACGAGACCACCUGUACCGAAAGGCAUGGGUAAACUUGUGAAAGUUCAUCGUGAUGGGGAUAGAUUAUUGCAAUUAUUAAUCUUCAACGAGGAAUUCCUAGUAAGCGCGAGUCAUCAGCUCGCGUUGAUUACGUCCCUGCCCUUUGUACACACCGCCCGUCGCUCCUACCGAUUGAAUGGUCCGGUGAAAUCUUCGGAUUGCUGGAUAGGACUUCAUUGACCUAUCUGCGAGAAGUUGCUUGAACCUUAUCAUUUAGAGGAAGGAGAANUCGUAGCA
rnacentral:rRNA from 1 species